CCAUUGAAACAUCUCAGAUAACUGGAUCAUGCUUUCUUGAUUUGCCAAAUGUUUGAUCCGGUCCAUAAGUUGUGACUAUCUUCCAAUGCAUGGUGCACCAUAUUGUGCGUGGUCCUCCUCGGGGCGACAUAGAGAGGAUUCUCCAACCAGUUGAGCAGCACCUUCAUCGAUCUGUGCAAUUCUACAGUUGAGAUAGAAUUGUUGAUGUCGAAGUUUACUAAGCUAAGCUUUGAGAUGGGAAAAAUGGUAUUUGGAAUAACCUCAAUAUUACCUUCUGGUCUAUUGGAUCAAUAUAAUCGACAAGUCUCACAAAAUAUAUCAUCAACUAUAUGCGAGACAAGGCGAGUGUUGCUGCUCCGUGUUGUAGUUCGAAUAACCUCAUUAGUAUCUUCUGAGCUAUUGGAUCAAUAUCAUCGACGAGAGUCUCUCAGGAAAAAUAUCAUCAACAAGAAGCAAGGCAAACUGUUGUUGCUCCGUGCUACUCGGUUCUCUGAGGUAUCCACAAAUUUUUGAUGACAAAAUAAUUAGAAAUCGUUGUCUGCCGAGAAAAGAGGAGGUGAAUACUACAUAUGAUUAAUUUAGGAUUAAUUAUUAGGUAUGUUUUAUUUCCUUUCCUUGCAAUAUCGAACGAGCCUGGUAUAUAUUUUUCCUAAGCCCUCGAAUGAUA